rnacentral:rRNA from 1 species
GUACACUCCUACGGGAGGCAGCAGUGGGGAAUUUUGGACAAUGGGCGAAAGCCUGAUCCAGCAAUGCCGCGUGAGUGAAGAAGGCCUUCGGGUUGUAAAGCUCUUUUGUCAGGGAAGAAACGGUGAGAGCUAAUAUCUUUUGCUAAUGACGGUACCUGAAGAAUAAGCACCGGCUAACUACGUGCCAGCAGCCGCGGUAAUACGUAGGGUGCAAGCGUUAAUCGGAAUUACUGGGCGUAAAGCGUGCGCAGGCGGUUUUGUAAGUCUGAUGUGAAAUCCCCGGGCUCAACCUGGGAAUUGCAUUGGAGACUGCAAGGCUAGAAUCUGGCAGAGGGGGGUAGAAUUCCACGUGUAGCAGUGAAAUGCGUAGAUAUGUGGAGGAACACCGAUGGCGAAGGCAGCCCCCUGGGUCAAGAUUGACGCUCAUGCACGAAAGCGUGGGGAGCAAACAGGAUUAGAUACCCCUGUAGUCCCAUGA